UACGAAGGGGGCUAGCGUUGCUCGGAAUUACUGGGCGUAAAGCGCACGUAGGCGGAUUGUUAAGUCGGGGGUGAAAUCCUGGAGCUCAACUCCAGAACUGCCUUCGAUACUGGCGAUCUCGAGUUCGGGAGAGGUGAGUGGAACUGCGAGUGUAGAGGUGAAAUUCGUAGAUAUUCGCAAGAACACCAGUGGCGAAGGCGGCUCACUGGCCCGACACUGACGCUGAGGAGCGAAAGCCAGGGGAGCAAACGGG
rnacentral:rRNA from 1 species